CAUCCCCGCCGCUCUGCCCCGCUGAGGGGGCUGCGCCUAGCAGGGCUUCCAAGCCCCACCCUGCACUUCAGAUAAUUCUGCCCUUUGGGAAAACACUGAUAUCAAGCACACUUCCUUCAGAAAUGAAGUUGGAUCUGUGUAAGUUAUUUAAUCAGAAUUUUCAAUUGGUGUCAUUACAGUGAUAUAAUUAUCGUGUGUCAGUAUGUGCUAAUAAAUACAAGAAAUAAAACC
rnacentral:lncRNA from 1 species